GUUCAUUUAGUGUCAAAAAGUUCCUAGAGUAACAAGUACAAAGUGAAUCGAAUAGUGAAGAAAAAAGUGAAAAUGGUAAGUGAAAACGUAGACACAUCAGAUAGUGAGCUUACAACGGCAUUAGAGGAAAUGGGCACGGUGUGUGUUCCCUUUUCUGCAGGUUAAAAAUCAACUUCUGAGAAAUGCAUACAUGCAGAGAAAGAGCAUGCAUUGGUUUCGAAAUAGGACGACCUGAAGCGCAGUGUUUCCUUUUUACGAUAGGAACAUUAAAACCAUCUCAGCAGGCAACAGCUUUCCGAAGCACAGUCGGCCAUAAAUGAAGAUGCCCAGGACUUUUUAUUUGUUAUUUUGCUUGACAGCGCAUUUCGUUAAAUAUGUUUAGUUGUAAGAACUUUAAGAAAUGUGUAACAAUUUAAUUUUUAAGAAAAAAGUUAUGGAACUUUUUAUGUAUAUAUGUACUAUAGAUAAAGAAUAAUAACGAAAUUAUUAAAUUCGUGUAAAUAAACAAUAAAUAUGAUUCGUUCUUAAAA